rnacentral:tRNA from 1 species
AGCACAGCGCUAAGUGCCGUGCACCUUCUAAGCACUUGGCCGUAGGUUCGAGUCCUACCGGGGGCGCCA